rnacentral:rRNA from 1 species
GACGAACGCUGGCGGCGUGCCUAAUACAUGCAAGUCGAGCGGACGAAUCGAAAGCUUGCUUUUGAUACGUUAGCGGCGGACGGGUGAGUAACACGUGGGCAACCUGCCCUGUAGACGGGGAUAACACCGAGAAAUCGGUGCUAAUACCGGAUAACACGAAAGACCGCAUGGUCUUUCGUUGAAAGGCGGCGCAAGCUGUCGCUACAGGAUGGGCCCGCGGCGCAUUAGCUAGUUGGUGAGGUAACGGCUCACCAAGGCGACGAUGCGUAGCCGACCUGAGAGGGUGAUCGGCCACACUGGGACUGAGACACGGCCCAGACUCCUACGGGAGGCAGCAGUAGGGAAUCUUCCGCAAUGGACGAAAGUCUGACGGAGCAACGCCGCGUGAGCGAAGAAGGCCUUCGGGUCGUAAAGCUCUGUUGUUAGGGAAGAACAAGUACCGCAGUCACUGGCGGUACCUUGACGGUACCUAACGAGGAAGCCACGGGUAACUACGUGCCAGCAGCCGCGGUAAUAAU